rnacentral:rRNA from 1 species
GGAAGAGGGGAGUGGAAUUCCCGGUGUAGCGGUAAAAUGCGCAGAUAUCGGGAGGAACACCAGUGGCGAAGGCGGCUCCCUGGACCGCACCUGACGCUCAGAGGCGAAAGCUAGGGGAGCGAACAGGAUUAGAGACCCUGGUAGUCCUAGCCCUAAACGCUGGAUGCUAGGUGUAGGGCUGAUGAGGCUCUGUGCCGGAGCGAACGCGAUAAGCAUCCCGCCUGGGAACUACGGCCGCAAGGCUAAAACUCAAACGAAUUGACGGGGACCCGCACAAGCAGCGGAGCGUGUGGUUUAAUUCGAUGCUACACGAAGAACCUUACCUGGGUUUGACAUGUUGGUGGUACCGAACCGAAAGGGGAGGGACCCUUCGGGGAGCCAACACAGGUGCUGCAUGGCUGUCGUCAGCUCGUGCCGUGAGGUGUCGGGUUAAGUCCCGUAACGAGCGCAACCCUUGCUCUUAGUUGUACGUGUCUAAGGGGACUGCCGGCGACAAGCCGGAGGAAGGUGGGGAUGACGUCAAGUCAGCAUGGCCUUGAUAUCCAGGGCUACACACACGCUACAAUGGCCGGUACAAAGGGCAGCCAAGCCGCGAGGUGGAGCGAAUCCCAGCAAAGCCGGUCCCAGUUCGGAUUGCAGGCUGCAACCCGCCUGCAUGAAGUUGGAGUUGCUAGUAACCGCGCGUCAGCCAUAGUGCGGUGAAUACGUACCCGGGUCUUGUACACACCGCCCGUCACGUCAUGGGAGUUGGCAACGCCUGACAGCGGUAGCCUAACCGAAAGGAAGGCGCCGACUAAGGCGGGGCU